CAGCGCCACGAGUGGGAACUACAAUUAUUGGGCCUGAAGCGUCCGUAGCCGGUUUAGUAAAUUUCUUGUGAAAUUGUUGAGCUUAACUUAACAACGUGCAGGAAAGACUGCUAAACUUGGGACUGGGAGGAGUUAGAAGUAUUUUUGGGGUAGCGGUAAAAUGUUAUAAUCCCAAAGAGACUACCUAUGGCGAAAGCAUCUAACUAGAACAGGUCCGACGGUGAGGGACGAAAGCUAGGGGAGCAAAACGGAUUAGAUACCCGAGUAGUCC
rnacentral:rRNA from 1 species